rnacentral:rRNA from 1 species
UACGAAGGGUGCAAGCGUUAAUCGGAAUUACUGGGCGUAAAGCGUGCGUAGGCGGUUUGUUAAGUCUGUUGUGAAAUCCCCGGGCUCAACCUGGGAAUGGCAAUGGAUACUGGCAAGCUAGAGUGUGUCAGAGGAUGGUGGAAUUCCCGGUGUAGCGGUGAAAUGCGUAGAGAUCGGGAGGAACAUCAGUGGCGAAGGCGGCCAUCUGGGACAACACUGACGCUGAGGCGCGAAAGCUAGGGGAGCAAACGGG